GAAGAUGAACGCGGACUUGUCUGUUCUUCCUAGCAACGGAGGAAGAGUCUCGUGCAUGGAGGUGUGGCCACCUGAGGGUCUAAAGAAGUUUGAGACUUUCUCAUACCUCCCUACAUUCACAGAUGAGGAGUUGAUCAAGGAAGUCGACUACCUGAUCCGCAACGGAUGGGUUCCCUGUAUUGAAUUCGCCAAGGUUACAGAAAUAAAUAAAUAAAGUUUUGAUAAAAGGUCACCAAACUAAUAUUUCUGAAUUUAAUCAAUCGGUUUAUUUUACAGGAUGGGUUCAUCACCCGUGAGCACGGUAACACCCCUGGGUACUACGACGGCCGUUACUGGACUAUGUGGAAGCUACCCAUGUUUGGUUGUACCGACGCCACUCAGGUCCUCGCCGAAGUUCAGGAGUGCAAGAAGGCUUACCCGGAAUA
rnacentral:lncRNA from 1 species